AAAUAUUGGGACAUAUAAAAAAAGACAACUCUGUUCCGCAGAGUAGCUGUUGACAUUAUAGUUGCGCAGGAACUUUGUUGACUCUAGAGAACCUCGGGCAAAUGCACAUCCACGUGGCGGCGACUUUGCAUGCGGAUGUCAUCCAUAUCAACUUUCGAUGCCAGUUUCUGUGCCUACCAUGGUGACCACGGGUAACGGGGAAUCAGGGUUCCAUUCCGUACAGGGACCCUGAGAAACGGCUACCACAUGCAAGGAAGGCAGCAGGCGCGCAAAUGACCCACUCCCGACCGGGAAGGUAGUGAU